AUCUAAGCAUGAAGCCCCCCUCAAGAUGAGAUUUCCCAACUUCGGUUAUAAGAUCCCUCAGAGAUGAUGAGGUUAAUAGGUUCGAGGUGGAAGCGUGGUGACACGUGGAGCUGACGAAUACUAAUCGAUCGAAGACUUAAUCAAUUU
rnacentral:rRNA from 1 species